GAUGAAGAACGCAGCGAAAUGCGAUAAGUAAUGUGAAUUGCAGAAUUCAGUGAAUCAUCGAAUCUUUGAACGCACAUUGCGCCCGCCAGUAUUCUGGCGGGCAUGCCUGUUCGAGCGUCAUUUCAACCAUCAAGCCCCCGGCUUGUGUUGGGGACCUGCGGCUGCCGCAGGCCCUGAAAACCAGUGGCGGGCUCGCUAGUCACUCCGAGCGUAGUAAUACAUCUCGCUCAGGGCGUGCUGCGGGUUCCGGCCGUUAAAAGCCUUAUUUACCCAAGGUUGACCUCGGAUCAGGUAGGAAGACCCGCUGAACUUAAGCAUAUCUAAGCGGAGGA
rnacentral:misc_RNA from 1 species